GGUCAAGCUCCGCACUAACAAGCUCCAAGAGGAGUGUUUUGCCAAACAGGUCUGUAAAAUCAUCCAGUCCUCGUUCUAUCCCUAUUUCUGUCCAAAAAUCAACAACUGUUUGUUUCACAGUCACCACAGCCUUAACAUCUGUGGACUGCUGUGUGACACUAGCUAUAGAUUUAAUGCUUCCAUGUUUAUAGCCAACACGAACUUUUUUGUUUGCUUUAGUGGACAAGGACCUUGAAUACACAGGAAAAGAAGCAUGACCACUGCCAUGGAUGAAUGGUUUAGGUAGUAGAAAAGGGAUUUUUGUUGAAAGGUGUGACUGGUGAAGCUGUGGCUUCAACAUUGUUGCUAAUAGGAGAGGAGAUACUUAGGUUUAACUAGGAGUUUGUUGUAUGAAAAUCUGUAGUGAGCAAGCUAUGAUAUAUAGAACGAGAGAGAGAGAGAGAGAGGAACAUGUUUUUCAUUUGGUCUAUAAUCCAUGCACGUGAUACAUGAAUUAUUGGCUUGCAACUUGCAAGAUAACUAUAUUUGUUUACAGGUUAUCAUAACAUCAUUUACAUGUUCAAAUUCAAAGAAAAUUGUCAAAAAUAAAUUUCUCAUGAAAGAGUGGAUUUUAUUGGUAUUUCUUUUUUCUAUAUAUGCUGAUACGUACAAAGUUAUGAUUGUCCCAAGAAAAUCAAUUCUUAUAAUUUUGUUUAUCUUUUAAAUAUAUUUUAUUACACAGAAAUAUUUGUGUGUACAAGAACCUUAUAAUUAAUAGCUUAGCUUUAAUAUUUAGCUAGAUAGGAAAAUUAUAUCUGCUUGAUAGGGAUUAAUUUGACAAACAUUACGAAGUUGAAGAAUUACUCUAGUCUUCCAUCACAAUGAGAAAUAUUUUUGUGUCAAAUUCUUUGAAACAAGGAUUAAUACCUACGCUAGACUCGAUUCAAAAAUAAGAAUUGAAGAUAUACUUGAUGACAAUACUUUUUUUUUUAGCUUUAAAUGUCUAUUAAGCGAAAGGAUUAACAGAAUAGUAUUCAAUUUCAAUAUUGCACCCCCAAAAAUGAGAUUGUAGCUUACUUGAACGGGAAACCUCCCCCAGCAGCUAAAGUCACUGCUAAAAUAAACUUUAAGUUACACAGACUAUAUUUCGACCACAAAUCGUUAAUGAUCUUAUCUAUCCAUGGAUCCUGUCUCUUACUAACCGCACGUGGAAGGACCACUCUUUUACCUUACAAAUGAUUUAUAGUUUUUUAAUGGGUUUUUUUCUACAGAGGGAUUGAUUUGUUUUGUUUUUUGAAUUUUUUAAAACAAAGAAAAAUCAUCUUGUUUUUUUCAAAUAUUUUAUUGUUAAUCAAACACUACCAGAAAAUUGAUAAAUACAAAUGAAAAUUUGACCACCCCAACAUUCAAUCUGUCAGCAUCCUUGUUCUUAUUAAAUAUUUUUAAAGAUUCCUUACAUCAAGUAAGCAAAACUAUCUAUUUUUUGUUUAAACUCAAUUUGAAAAUUUUAAUUUUUAUUAUAUAUUUUUGUAGUAUAUAUAGUUUGUUUGCGUGUUUACUUGUUUUAUAGCUUCUCCCACAUGAAUUUGUUGUAUGAAUGUAUGGUUUAUACAUGUUAGAGUUUGUUUGAGAUUUUAAAAUUAAAUUUUAAUUUGUUUGUAAUUUGAUGAAAUUGAUUUUGAAUUUGUGACUUAAGUGUUUUCUAAUUAAAUAAAUAAUAGCUUAUUUAAUGAGCCUGUUUUAUAUUUUGACAAUUUUAUUGUUGAGUUGAAAAUUUUGGUAAAUAUAUAGGAAUUUCAAUCUAUGUACAUAAUUGAUAAUGAUUUAAGAAUACUAUUAAAAUAGAUUGAAUAAGUUUGAUUUAAAUUAAUAUUAGCUAAUUUAUUUAGUUUACAAAAUUAAUUAAUAUAUGUUGUCAUCAAUAUUCUAUAUAGGUUUAAUAUAAGUAAUGGAUGAUUGUUCAUGGAUGUAUCGAGAUUCACCCGAAAGGUUGUGCAGGAUGAAUUAUUGUAAUUAGGUUAAGGGUUUUAUUAAUUACAUACUGUCUAAUCCAAAAAAUAUUAGUUGACGCGAUACUAGAUGUCCAUGUAAAAAGUGUAAAAAUAAAAAGUUUCUCGAUCCAGAUGUUAUAACGAUACAUCUUCUACAAUAAGUAUUCAUUGAGAAUUUUUUGUAUUGAUUUGCACACAAAGAACCAUAUGUUUCUUACAAGAUCAUAAUAGAAAAUAUGAUUAGGUCAAUUCUAAUUCUAGAAACGUGUAUGGAGUUGUAGAUUAUAAUAGUAAUUCUUAUAGGAAUAUGGUUAUGAAUGCGAUAAGAAUGAAUCAAGGUCAUGCAAGUGAAUCUCUAGUCAUAGAUGAAAAACCAAAUGCAAACGCAACUAGGUUUUUUUUAUCUUUUGAAAGACUUUGAUGAACCAUUAUGGGAUGAGUGCACAAAUUAUAGUAAACUAUCGAUCAUUGCAUAGAUGUUCACCAUCAAAUCAGAUCAUGGGUUGAGUGAUGAGGUCAGUUACGAGAAAAUUGUUGAAUGAGCCAGAAGCAUUUUACCAGAAAAGAAUAGGCCGAAAGAAAACUUCUAUGUUAUUAAAUCCAUGAUAAAACCUCUCGACUUAGGAUAUUAAAAAAUUGACAUGUGUCCAAACAUCUUCAUAUUGUACUACCUUGAAAAUACAGAGUUGACCGAGUAUAGAGCAUAUGGGCAUGCUUGUUAUAAACCAAAAACUGGCAGGGUAAGGACUCUUAUCGCACAUAAAAAAACUUAGAUACUUCUAAAUCUCUCCUAGAUUGCAAAAGUUAUUUAUGUUUUCAAAGAUUGUUAAACACAUAACAUGACAUCAUUCACAUGAUGUGGUGGAUGAAGUCAUGGUGUUCCUAUUCGAUGAUAAAGCCUUGAAACAUUUUAAUUUGGAGCAUCCUCAAUCUUCAAUGAAAUCAAGGAACAUGUGUCUUUAAAUUUUUAAAUUUUUUCUUUUUUUUUUCUUUUAAAAUUUGAUUUUUUUUUCUAAUUUCAUCCUUCAAUAUUAUAGUAAUUGUUACCAAAUUCUCUCACUAACAAUUUUUUUUUUUAAAAGAAUCAUCAAAAGAACAAAAGAAAAUAUAUUACAGUGAACUAACCAUUCUAUGGGAUCGACUUGAUAAUCAAGGAGAUUUGCUUCAUCGUUUUUUUUUUAAUUCGAAGUUUGAUUAGUUCUUCUAGAUGCGCCAAAUUUUUAAUAGUUCAGAUAAUAUAUUUAAUCUUGAUUGAUAAACAAUCUAAUCCAUGUAUAUAUAAAAAGAAUUUAGUUUAGUUAUAAAAUAAAUAGAUUUAACCUCAAUUCUUCAAAAUAGGUUAAAGAAAAUAAAUUUAUCGUAACACCGUGAUAUAUUAUAAAUAUGCCUGUGGACUGUACAAAUAAUGCAGCAAUUGCAAAAGGGCAUUUAUUUUUUGGGAUGUCAAGUCAGGCAUGGACAAGGUACAUUCAUUCACGUGCAUCAUCUCAUGGAGUCCAGAUAAGACAUUAAAGAGAGAACAAUGGUGCGAUAUAUCCUUGCUUUAAAGUGUUGUCCAACAUGCUUCUUCGUUUUUGACAAUAUGUUCAAACAAGAUAUGGAAGCCAGAAAAUAUGAUAGAAAAUAUCUGUCGUCAUUCAAAGAGGAUCACUCAUUUUUUCCCUUCAUUUUCUUUUGGUACCAUAGUUAUUAAAUCUGAACUGGCUGGGUUGAUUUAAUAGCUGUACUGAUCUAAAUAAAGUAAAUGAUUAGAAAAAGCAAUAAAAUAGUCAAACUCAGUUGGUUUACCAGAUCGACCCAUGACCUGGCAAAACCUAGUUGGGUUUUGAUUUAUUUUAAAUGUGUUUUUUCUCAUAAUUAGAAACUCCUCUUUUUUCAUAUUUUUUUAGUUGUUUAUUAACCUUUUUUAAAGUUCAUUAUAUAAAUACUAAAAGAAUUUUUUUUUUAAUGUGGGAUUUAAAACUGUUUAGUAUAUAUAUUUUAUGUUUACAAGACAAAAAAUUAUUUUUUCAAUAUGGGAUCCGAAGCCCUUUAAUAUAUAUAUUCUAUGUUCACAAGAAAAAAAAUAUGUUUUUUCAAUGUGGGAUAAAAAACUUUUUUGAUUUAAAUACUUCAACUUAAAAGGAUAACAUAAUAUCUUUUCAACAUAAGAUAAAAAAUAUUUUGAAAUAAUAUUUUAAACUUCAUUAUUUACAACAUGUAUAGCUUAUAUUUACAUGAAUUGUUUCUUAAUUUUUUCAUAUGAAAUAUUAAAACUUUAAAUAUAUAUUUUUUUAAUUUUUCCGAGUUAAUUCGGGUUGACCUAGGUCAACCCGUAUAACCCGGGAUCUGACCCUUUAAUCAGGUCAACUCCUAAAUCGAGUUUAAUAACUAUGUUUGAUUCAUCUAAUAUCUUAUUACAUUUUAUUAAUCACCAUAAAUUAUGAUUAAUUGUGAGUAUGUUUUUACUCUAAUCAGCUUCGCAUAUGAAUUCAAAACCUAAUUUCGACUGGUUUUAAUUUCAUAAAAAAAUAAUAAAGAGAUGGGGCAUGUUUUAAUAACUUUAUAAUUUCGUUUAGAUAUUUUUCUUAAAAAUAAAUUAACCUAGAUUAAUUAACUUAUAUAAUCUAAAACCCGAGCGUUACGUCGUAUAUAGUCUAAUAACUAUAAGUUUUUACAAUGAACGAAAGAAAAUGCAAAAAUUAUUGAAAUGGGUCAUCAAUCAGUAUCCUAUCAGCCAAGUACAAGAGAUGGGGCUAGCUAGUUGAUGACGGUGUCUUGUCGUUGAAAAUGAUGCAUAUCUGCUGCAUGUGUUUUUACAUUGAACCAUCAAUCCAUCACCAUCACGGUCUGUAUGGGUUUCCAUGUUGCUAGGUUCAUUUGGUUUUCUGGUUUUUUUUUCUUCGUUAUUCUUCAUUUUUGGGGGUUUGAUCUGUUGUUCAAGUUUUUUUUAAGUUUUUUGUGUUUUUUGCAAGUUCAAUCUAUUUUGGCUUUGGUUUUUGUUUUCGGUUCGUUUUUGGAUCAAAGCAAGAUUUUUUAUUCGGUUCAUGGUCAAACCAUAUAUUUUAAGUCAAUCCAGUCGAGUCAACCUAGUCAGUCAACUCAAUCAAGUUAACCUAGUUAGGUCAUUUAAAAAAAAUCCGAAUCACAAGACUUAUACCCUCUUUGGUUUUGUCAUUUUUUUUUGUUAAGGGUGUCUUGGUUUAAGGGUGUUUGACAAACACCUUUAGACUUAUUUUAUUUAGUUUUAUUACAAAAAAUAGUUUCUUUUACCAAACAAGACUUAAAAAAUAAUAAUAAAUAUUUUUUUUUUUUUUACAUAUGGCUAAAAAUCCAAAAUUUAUUUGAGCAUAUUUUUCAAGAAAAUUUUAAACACUCUUGGCAUUUUUUUUUAAAAAAUAUAUUGCAUGGAUUUUAUAAUUAGUUUGCAGAAUUCUAAAGGAUUUUGGUUUGUAUUUAAUUUUUUUUUUUGCAAGAAAAUAUUAUUCAUUUUUAAUAUAAGGAUAAAAAAAAACCUAAAAAGAGCUAAUAUCCAAAAUAUUAUUAGGAAUAAUAAUUAUAUUAUUUACUUUUAAUAUAAGGAUUAAAAAAAACCUAAAAGGAGUUAAUAUCCAAAAUAUUAUUAGGAAUAAUAAUUUUAUUCCUCACUUUAGUAGAAGGAUAAAAAACCUAUAUGAGGUUAAUAUCCAAAAUAUUAUUGUUAAUAAUGCAACUCAUUCACUUCUAAUAUAAAGAUAAAACCCAUAAGAAAUUUUAUCUAAAAUAUUAUUUGGAAUGACGUAGCAACCCAAAAAGAAUUUAAGUUUUUCCUUGAAAGAAGUCUCAACAAUAAUUGAGGAUAUUUUACUUUUCCAGACUGGGUUCUUGACCUAGAAAAUUAAGAUUUGUUCAUUGUAGCGGACCCCUCAUAAUAAGUCAGUAGAAAUAGAUAUCAUCAGACCAUAGCAAACAAUAAAAAAAAAUGAAGCUUACCCUUAGGUAAGGCGUUUAGGAAUGCUAAUACUUUCCUUUUAUGUAAUCAAUUUCUUGCUUAAAAUAUAUAUAAAAAAAACACAAAAACUAGUUAGAAUUCCUAACAAUAAUAUUAAUUAGAUUGCAACUCUCUACCCAAAUCAAAGACCAUUCUAAAAGACAUUGCUUGAGAAUUGUCACCGCGACAUCACGCUAUCGCUAGAAGGGUAUCAGCAUUAAGUUGGUAAACGUAGUACAAAUUUGAAUAUACGAUUUCUUUUCGGUCAUUGAAAGGCGAGAAUCAUGGUGAAGGAACUUUAUUUAAUUCCUUUUUUAUGCUUAUAUUUAUGAAAAAUUAACAUUUUUUUUUCUUCUAUUUUUGUUAGUGUUGGAUAUAAUCUCAAAUCUUUAUUUUUUGUUUCCUUUUUAUGCUUUUGGAUUUUGAUAUUUUGGGGGAUGGAAUUUGAGCUGUCCAACGAAGAGAGGAUGAAAUAUCUGAUAGGCCAAUGGUAGAAUGACAUGUGGAUGAAGUUGCUAGGGUUUAUCAAAUUUGUUUUACUCCAUUACUGGCAAGUAUUUUUUUUAUAAUACUUUAUGAUUUUAUGUACUUUAUCAUGCAGAAUAUGGCAUUUUAAAAAAUUCCAAAAAUUCAUUUUGUCACAUGAAAGAGACUAUUGGUUAAUUUGUCAGCAUUUAAAUAACUUACAAAAUUAAUGUCCCUAUCCUACUUUUGUUUUCUAUUGUGCCUUUGUCGUUGAGGGAUUCUAUUCGACUAUUCAAAGAAAGGGAAGAAUAUUCAAACUUUUCUUUGACUAGCUGUUUAAAAUAGAUUAUGCUAAGAAAUUUUUGUUUUGCAGUAAUAAAAUCCGAUGAUUAAACCGUUUGUAAUUUUUUAAAAAAUGAGAUUGAAUCCUUCAUUGUAGAUCGGUGUAGAAAUUAUAGAUGAAAUUUUUGGAUUGGUAGGGUAUUAAUUGUUGUAUCUCCUAUUGUGUGGAUGAUUUAUUACAUUAGUGGCCCAACCUAGUAUUUGAAAAAUUCCAGCGUAAGGCUUGAUCUAUGCUUUCUUGUUGUGUUAGCUGGAGUAUAUGGCUUAUGAGAAAUAAUAUUAUCUUCAAUAAUAGAACUGCGACCUUCAAAGAUAGCUUCCCCUUAAUUCUAUAUCGUCUCUCGAAUUUGCUCAAGUUUAUAGAUAAGUUCUUCAUGGUUACUGGAACAUAUUUGAUUAUGGGGCUUGAAGGUAUUAUAAAUUCAUCUAACAACACCAAAUCAAGGUUUUAAGCAUGAUGCAUAAGCUCUUUCAGUCUCAAUAUUUUUUUUUCUGAUUUGUUUUGCUUUUUUUUUUUUUUGUCUGCUUUUAGUUUUUGUAAAUUUUUUUUCUUUUUUUUUUCUUGUAUCUUGCUUUUGGCUAUCUUCUAGUUAGCCCUUUUCAUAUAUCGAUUUCUUUCAAAAAAACAAAAAAAGGAAAUAAUGUUCAAUCAUAGGGUAUCUCUCGACCAAAAUCGGUGAGGCUGAUCAGUUUACACCAAGGUACUCUUUUUAUAAUGUUCGCAUAUAUGUGUUUAUACAAUGUUAAAAAUGUUCAACAUUCAUCAAGAAUAUGAUAUAAAUUAUUUUAGUAAAUCCUCUAAAAAAAUACCAUUAAAAACAGAAUUAUUUUCACUAAUAUGUUUUUUUUCCUUGUUAUCUAAUCAAAAGUUAAUUGUUAUUAUAUGAUAUGAAAAGAAAAUUAACAGAAUGACAGGUAGCUCCCCUCUAGUCCACAAAUCCUGAAAUAUUUCUGGCUAUAAGAUCAAUAAACGGGAUAUUCUCAAUUAUUCUAUGGGAAAGAUAUCGAUCAAUUACCUACAACCCUGUAAAUCCAAUGUUGGUCGACUAAAGCUAAUCGAUUAAAUUCCUUCGUUAAAUCUACAGGGAUUGCUUUCAAUUAUCUGAUCUUUUAGGCAAAUGCAAGAAGAAACAACUUAGCGCAACACUAUUCCACCAUAUUGUUUUAUUUUUUUUUCAUACCAUUACAAGUUUUCAAACUUCAGAUAGAGAUGCUGUAAGGAACUCCUUUUCCUGUAACUCCAGGGUCAGAAAAUGGCUUCAAAAGCUCAUAAGGCACAACGCCAGCUCCGUUUCUAUUCUUCAAUUUAAUGUCAGCAUUCCUUUCAUCAAUAAUUCCUUCAAACUCCUUCAACCUCCCAUUGAACUUUACGAAAGCCGCAUUUAUAGCCGGUUCCUCUGUCCAUGCUGGCUCUAUUUCCUGCCCAAGAUACUCCUCAUCGGGAGAAUGAUUUGAUAGCACAUCCAAUAUAGCCAUCACUGUUGUAGCCUGAAUUUGUGAAGGGAAUGUUGUCAAUAGUAUCACUUCAGGUUUCUCCCAAAAUAGUUUCAGCAACUCAUCGUUCGGGUCUUCGGUUGGCAUAUUCAUCCUAGCAGUUGUAGGCCUAUUUGGAAAGUAUCCUGCAUAUGUAUAUUGUCCGAAAUUCACUGCGGCAUGAUGACCGGAGGCUAUCCAUAUGAUAGUUGUCAGGGUUUCAAUAAGGUCCUGAGGUGUUUUAAGCACAGGCCACCAGGGUUCAUCUUUCUUGUCAGCGUGACCUACCGUUCGAACUUCUGUCCACCAUGCUUGGAGCUCAUUAUCAGACACAAUGAGACUUGAGUCUGCAUAGUAGUGAUUGACAUAGUCACUAACCCACUCUUUGAUGAUAUCCCAUAAAACCAAACCAUCAUUGGCAUAUGGAUAGUCUUCCACCAUCAAUUUCAAUCCAUGUGGAGCAGAUGGAUCUUCCACAGCCAUUCCCCUGUCAAUUAUCAGAAUCAGAAAGAAAAUGUUUUAACUAGCAGCCGCUUCAAAAGGCUUAUUAAUUAUGACUAGCAGCAUCUAAGUUUGGUAGAAUGAUAGGCUAGCUAAGGAUCGAUCAAACAUACCUGUUUAUUAGAUCCUUGGGCAGCGCCUCGUAGUCAAACCGCCAUUCUUGAUCAUAGACAACAGAGCUUAAUUCCAUAGAAUACUUGCCAGGAAAGAAUGACGUCUCUAUAACCCCUUUUGCACUAAUUAGAUAUUGUCGAGCUAGAGCAUUGAUCUCCAUUGUGUACCGGAAAUGCGGGUGCAAGAGUCUGUAGAUUGGAUGCAUUUCACUAAGUUGGCGAUUGGCCGCGAUUAUGUAUGGUUCUGUGCAGCAAUGUGUUCUUAGCCUGCAAAAUAUAACAUAUGAUACAUGUUUGUGAAUCGAUUCAAAUCCUAUUUUUUUCAUCGCAACUUCGAACAAACCGAAAAUUUUUGUGCAUUAAUGCAAGGCGGCUGCUAACUCAAGCGCAACGAAAGCGCAUACCAGUGACUAAUAAGUUGGUGAUAGCCAGACUCAUGUGCAAGGACAUGAGCUUUGGCAAGCCUCCAAAGCCAAACACCAGUGGAAUGCCAAGCUGGUCUAAACACUUGCUUCCAUUGCGGCUUACCAUCCAUCGGUGGUCGAGUGAGCUCAAUAGCUAGUGGUCUCAAUGUUCCUUCAUGGGUUAAGAAGAACAAUGUCCGUGACCCGUAUAGUGUCGUGCCUUUCAGCUCUCUUAUUGUGCUUACGAAAGGUAGGAAUAAAUCAUGGUAGUCAAGGAUGAAAAGCUUCUGAUCUUUUACUGCCUACGUUCAUCAAUGCACCGAAUUUAGUUUGUUAAGAGGAAAAUCAAGAUGAGUUUGAAUACCGUUACGCGAUUGGUUUUCUACUUCAUACCUGUCCACAUGUCAUGAACCCUUUGAUUUCUUGCUCAACCAUUUCUGCAGUGAUUGCUGAUUCUUGGGGACCGUAGAUUUCAGGGUCUAGUUUACUCCUUAAUGGCCAUUCCUGCAUGAUUUAAUGCAAUACUUUCAUCAAGAAAAGAGUAAUGUUUCAGCAUCGUUAGUUUUAAUAUUACCAACAUUUGUGAAUAAUUGAUUCAUUUCUUGAUGAACCGCAUGAACCUGGACUGGUUUUUCCUUUCUUAUUAAUGGACAAAAAUACUAUACCGUGACCAUUUUGAUGCAACAAGGGUUGAGACCAGAAAGAGUCUGUCUAGCAAAUUCUUCAUCCCUGAACCAAAAAAAUCUGUCUCCUGAAACACAAAAACUCUUAAAAUGAGAAAAUGAUAGAUAUCUUUUCAUUUAUGAUUGAUUUAUUAAUUUCCCAUGUCGAAUCUAGUUCUUAUUAUAGGUAUAAAAAAUAUCUUACUCUCCAUGGUAUCAGGAGUCUCAAAUUUCAAGACAUCUUUAGUUCCAUCAGUUAUGGCCCUGAAAAGGUUAGGCAGAAGAUCUUUCCAAAACCCCUGUUUCUUAAGGGGAGGCAAAUUGAUUCCUUCAUUGAAUAGUGCGUCAAUGGAACUGAAGAAUGGGAAUCCAAGUUCACUGUCAACAAUAGCGGUUGAUAGAGAAGGUACUAGGGCAUGCAAUACUGAUUUGAGAGUCUUGGCAGAAAACGUGCCCAUCUUUACUUCUGAGAAUUCUUCAUCUCGAGGAACGUAGAAGCUGCUACUCCUUGUCUCCGUAAGUGGAUCUAUCACCACAAUUGUUUCCAAAUGGUUAGAAUCAAUGAAGGAAAAAAUUAUUUUCCAUGAUUUAGUUAAUAGGUACAGAUUAACAGUUAUAUAUUUGACAAUUUCUUUUAAUAGAUAGGUUUUAGUUUAGUAAUUCUAUUUUAUUUGAUUAUUAUAUAAUGAAAGAAGGAUUAUUUCCAUUAUGUAGAUUAAGAUAAGCCUUUUUUUUAAAAAAAAAAAAAAACAUUUUCUUAUCGAGUUUAUGCAAGCAAAGUUAUUAAAUCUACCCAGUUUAAAGCUUAGGUUAAUGAUUAUACAGAUUAAUCAAGAUUAAUUCAAAAAAAUCAAAAUAUUUUUAUUCAAUUUCAAAAACUAAGUGACUCGUUUCAAAUCUAUUUUUUUUUUAAAUCAAAUUAUAUUUUAACAUGACUUUGAUCUACUUAAUUAAAUACUAGAUUUACUCGGUCAAUUUUUAUCUGAUUUAUUUUAAAAUCUAUAAAUGUUGAUUUGUUAAACUGGAUUUAAGAACAUCGGAUGAAAGGAUCGUAAUUAUUUUUCAAACACAAUCCAACACUAGCUUGGUCAUGGAUCAGACAGGGAAUUUCACUCUAACAAAAUAUUUUUGUUCAAUUUUUUUUGAACAAAAAACUAAGCGACUCGUUUCGAAUUAAUUUUUUUUCAUUAUUAUUUUUCGAACACAAUCCAGCACUACUAUUUUUUUCAUUAUUUUUCUGCAUUUUUACCUGACUCGGUCCGUGGUCGGCCAGUACGGCAACGCCUAGGGUACGGGUGCUCUUUGCCACCUAGCACCGGCCUUGCUGUCUCUGGAUCACUAUCAGGAUUUCCAAGAUCAUUGUACACAUCAUAGUCAUAGAUCCUUUCACCUUUCUUUCGUUCUCCAUUGUCAUUGCCUCGUAAAGUCUCGAGUUCUUCCUUUCUCAGUUUUGUCAAUCCGUUUGGUGUUUCUGAUGGCAAGUAUGACUAUUCCAUGAAACACAAAAAUCAAUCAGUAUAAAAAAUUCUGUUAUGUGGGAUAUUUUAUAAGAUUAAAAUAAUUUUUUUUAAAAUUUUAUUUUUGAUAUUAAAAUAUUAAAACAAUCUAAUAAAUUUAUUUAAAACAAAUAUUUAAUUUAUAAAUAUUUAUAUGAGUCGAGAUUAUUUUUUUUAUUUUUACCAUAUCCAUGACCUGAAAACUUCACAUGGUAAUAUUGACAUUAUCGUGAGAAAAAUAAAUAUCUAUAAAUCAUGAACGUUGAGUUAAAGCAUAUAAAGUAUACAUAUCAGCUCCCCCAAUGGAUUAUAUCUUGUGAUUUUAUCUUUGUAUUGUUUUUCUAGUUAUUCACUAGCUCUUUCAACAAAACGUUUAAUGUAAAUUUAAUUUUUUAUAUAUAUAAUUUUCCUCAAUUUAUUCUUAUUUUAUAUUAUUAGUGUGAUAAAGUUGAAAUUUUCAGAACAUUCAAACUGACAGAAGGGGAUUGGAUCAGCCCACACAUAACAUCCACAAAUGCCACCAAAAUAUUUUUAAGAAAAAAAAAUUGUACAUAAAUUACCAUAUAUAUAUAUAUAUAUAUAUAUAUAUAUAUAUUAAGAAAAAUGUUUAUCAAACAUGGUAAUUAAUUAAUAAUAAUGUCAAAUUAAACAAAAGAAAAAGAUCUUGGAUCACAAGAGAGAGGUAAGUAACUGUUAGAGAAUAAUAUAAAUUAUAACUUUUUAGGUUGAAAUAGUUUUUUGACAUAAUAUCAAAGUUUUGAUGACCAAGCGGUUACAAGUUCAAAUCUCAUCAUUCACAUCUAUUUGAUAAAAAAAUUAAGCAUAAGAUAUUGUGAGUUUAUGCAAGUUUCAAGUCUAAAGAGCUUUCACUUGAAGAGGUGUGUUAAAGAAAAAUAUAAAUAAUAUUUUUAAAUCUCACCUAACAAUUUAAACUUUUAAAUUGAGAAGUUGUUUUACAAUAACAAAUUUAUUAUAAAAAAGUAACUAACCUUAUUAGUGAAAAAGAUUCUCUUCUUUUCAUUGUCAAACUUCGGAUGGAUCCAUGAAUCGCAAGUCACAUGAACUGGUCCAGUAGGGAAGCCAUCAAGCACAACAUCAUGAAGGUACAUCUCUUUAUGGUGCUCAUUUUCAACAAAAAUGGCACCAAUCUCUCCAAAAUCUGGUGGAACCACAAAAUCCGCUUCAUACUUGAUAUCCUCUCCUUCAUGAUCUAUCUUGUGCGCGUACUUUCGAAUUGAGGGCUUCUCUAAUCCCGUCUCUAGAGAAAUUGAAAAAAAAAAGUUGGAAUUUAGACAAGGAAUAAACUUUUUUCCUUUUUUUUAAGUGGGUACGGACAGUUUUUUUACUUGCACAAAUUUUUUCUUGCUUCAAUCAUUCAAAUAUAUAUAUAUAUAUAUAUAUAUUUCUUUGCAAACAAGGAAUAUAUGUUAAUUUUUUUUAAUAAAUAAAUCAUUCGAUAAGAACUUAAAAGGUUGUUUCUUGCACUUGUAAAGAAAAAAGAAAAAUAAAAUACUUGGAACACAGGUCUUUCAAGAAGCACUGCUUACUUGGGUCAAGCUCGGCACUAACAAGCUCCAAGAGGAGUGUUUUGCCAAACAGGUCUGUAAAAUCAUCAAGUCCUCGUUCUAUCCCUAUUUCUGUCCAAAAAUCAACAACUGUUUCUUUCACAGUCACCACAGCCUUAACAUCUGUGGACUGCUGUGUGACACUAGCUAUAGAUUUAAUGCUUCCAUGUUUAUAGCCAACACGAACUUUU
rnacentral:lncRNA from 1 species